GUAAUUACCACGGACUUUACUUUUACCAGUGUAGAAAUCACUCAACAGAUUGUUUUCUUAGGAAUCCCUUCAGGCACAAACCUGGGGACACCAUGAUGAGAAGACUGAAAGAAACAGAAAGAAAUUGACCUCUAAAAUAAAUGGCAGCCUGUAACUGUCAGUGUAGGACACGAAUGCACUUCGUUGCAGUAAGACCUAUCACGUUGUGUUUCGGGAAAGGCUCACACUGUUCCCAGAAGGUUUCAGCUGCAGGUAGUGGACUGGUUCUUCCUUUCACACAUCUUAACCUCAGCGCCUCACCCGUCAGCUUCGGGGUUGGCUUUACUCAGUGCCAUCAAGCACCUCCUUCAGAGGACUUAUCCCACACUUAGCCGUUUAAGCGGGAAUUAAGCAAUCUCCCUCCCCACCCCUCCCACGAAGGCUUUCUGGGACUUCUGAGGCACAGAGGAUGAGUAACAAUCAUGCCAGCAUGGUCUCACACUGAGUCACUUUACCUUUUUUUCCUGAAUCACUUGCGUCCUUGUGUCCAUGAGAUAUCCCACGACUAAGUGAGGAAGGACUAACCAGGCGUCUCACCAGUAAGUGAGGAUAGCCCACGCUCCCUGUUUACCUUUUACCCAGUCUUUAGUAUGGUGCACUGAGUGGUGUUUACUUCCACAACCUCCUCCUCUCCUUCAAGGACUGAAACUGGGGAUUAGUCAUCGUUUGUUCUUUCAAACCUACAGCCUUCAUAAUGGCUUUCUGCUUGCCAAGAAGCUUUAACAUCCCAGGGCCUAGGAUAAGGGCUGACAAGUUUCAUGCUACUCCGGAAAUGUGGGAGCUGAGCGCCCGGCAGACACGCUGCUAUGCAGGGGCUAUUUGGGGCUUGCUUUUAGGGAUUUGUUUCCAAUUGAGCUUUCUGACCUUGUUGAAUCUUCCCAUAAAUAAAGUCCAAAGCUGAAGAGGCAGAUAGCCAAAUGGCCAGCAGCAUGUCCAGUCAGUCAGAGAGCCAAGAGAGCAGCAUCUGGCCUCACAAACACUACCCUUCUUUCUCAGAGGGCCACGGCUAUUGUGGAGCUCCCAGCUCAUGCCAACCCCGCUCCAGAACCUCUCCUCUCCCCUGCCUUUGCUCACCUCCUGUACAGCACAAGAAGCUAAGAAUAAACAAGAGUUCAUGUCACCAAGUCGGCUGGAUGAAUAUUAGUGCCAACUCAGAAGGCCAGGCAGGAGUCGGCACUAAGAGCAGGACAUUCUAGAAAAUGCCAAGAGCACUUCCAUCCAUAUCUCACACAGCCAGGGUCUCCAAAAUAGGCAAGACGAGCUGUGACACAGCAGGAUGGACAAGGACCCUGCAGUGCACUAAAAUAGUCUGCGUGGUAACACACCCAACAC
rnacentral:lncRNA from 1 species